UAAUACUGCACAGAAGUCCUAUUUUUCUGCCUUCAAAAUGUUUUUAACUGAAACCCCAGUUUAAUUCUGGAAAUUCCAAUUUAAUCCUGGAUUCCAAUUUAAUUUGGUGGAGGAUCAAGCACAUCUCUAGUCUCUGUUAUACAGCAAGGAGGGGGAUGCAGCGUUUUCCGUGAUAAAGAUAAAUCCUAAACCUUAGAGGAGGGGGUUCUUGACCAGGGCCACACAUGGGGAAUCACCAGGGAGCUUGGGGAAAAAAAAAAUACCAACACUUGGGACCCUAACCAGAAGACUUGCAUUUGCUUGAUCACGGGGUGUGGCCUGACUGAUGGGAUUGCUUUUAAAGUGUCACAGGUGGUUCUCUUGUGCAGCCACAGCCCAGAAGCACUGCCGUAAGCCGAUUUCAAAGUUCCUAAUUUUCCCCUUAAACAGCUUAAAGUAUAGAAAAUAAACGGUGUCUAUGCCACAGGGAUACUGGCUCCACCAAGGGUGCACAUUGUGACAAAGUGCUGGACCUCUGUGAGGUUCCGAAGUUCUCUCCUUCCUAUCAUUUGGGUAAAAGGAGUGACUAACCCACAGGGUUGUGUGGUGAAGGUUGACUGAGGUAAGUACGUAAAAUGUGCCUGGCGGAGAGUAACAUUUCGUAACCGUUGGCUCUUACGUUCACUAUUAAUGUUAGGACUGGUUUUCGCAAUCUUAGCAGGUGAUAGAAACUAGUUUUAUUUAAAGGCGGGGGGGAAACUAGCUGACUCAGGUAACCCCACCUAGGAAAGUACAGGGUGGGUGUGGCCCCGGGACAACUGGGUCCAAGGGGUCAACCCCGUAGAUUCUUUUCCUCUUCUCUCUCAUUUCUGCUUUUCUUCUUCUCGGCAGCCUCAGGCCACGGGCCCACUUCUCUGCCAGGAGGAGACGACCACUCAGGCUGACCCGGCACACAUUCUGGGACCACAAAGGAAAAAGAGAAGCAGGGUACAGAUGAGUGCUUCGGCAGAGGAGGGAGUCCUUUCAAUGAAGAAGUAGAGUGAUUCUGACAUCUGCUAAGUGGAUAAGUACACUGGCUCCACCAGCUCACUGCUUUCUUCUCGUUCUACCCUGUGAAAUCCCUUUUAGCCAACCCUUGAUCAAUUCAUUAACCCCUUGCAGAAAUAAAUUAUGGAGAAGCACGUCCA
rnacentral:lncRNA from 1 species